UACGUAGGGUGCAAGCGUUGUCCGGAUUUAUUGGGCGUAAAAGGCUUGUAGGUGGCCACGCCAAGUCGGAUGUGAAAUCUCCCGGCUCAACUGGGAGGGGUCAUUCGAUACUGGCGGGCUCGAGGCCGGUAGGGGGAAGUGGAAUUCCCGGUGUAGUGGUGGAAUGCGUAGAUAUCGAGAGGAACACCUGCGGCGAAGGCGGGUUGCUGGGCCGACACUGACGCUGAUGCGCGAAAGCCAGGGGAGCGAACGGG
rnacentral:rRNA from 1 species